rnacentral:sRNA from 1 species
UGUAAUCUUAUAAGCAAAUAACCAACUUUUCUACUGAAAGUUAUAAGAAAAUGAGGCAAAAGUUUUAUUUAUAUUAGGGAAUUUAAUGAAAAAAACCCUCAACUUUGGCCAGAUCCAUUUUUAAACCCUAAACUAUGUUUUUAGUAAAACAAACCCUGAACUAAAACCUGUUAAUAAACUUAACCCCACAGUAAUUAAACAACGUUUAGGGUUAAGUUUAUUAACAGGUUUUAGUUCAGGGUUUGUUUUACUAAAAACAUAGUUUAGGGUUUAAAAAUGGAUCUGGCCAAAGUUGAGGUUUUUUUUCAUUAAAUUCCCUUUAUAUUAAUUGAAGCCGCAAGCAUGAGCUUGACCCGUUUGUGCUCAUGGAUGGCUCUGCUUGUAUCUAGUUAGAAGCCGAAACAACUAGUUUUCAGUACGCUAUGCAUGUAACUCAAAGAAUUUGGUGUAAGCAAUAAGUGAUUCUCAUUCUUGGUCGUGCUACAUUGAGGGAGAUACAACAACCAUGGGAAACACUUAUGCCUAAGCCUAACUUUUGAUUUGGGAGGAGGCAAAUGAACUAAUGCCUAAGCCUAAUAUUUUGCACAACUCUACUCGCGUGGCAC